rnacentral:lncRNA from 1 species
CUCUGGAAGAUUCUACAAUUAACAAAAGGGUAUAAAAAUGGCUGUAUUUCUUCUGUAUUCAGCACACAGUAAUAGUUACAUGGGCAAAGGUAAAGAUCUCAGGAACAAGACUGUUAGCCUACAUAAAACUAGAAAUGGCUACAAGAUGAUCUCCAAACAGAUGAUAAUUCCAGUUUCAACUAUUGUGCCAUUAUCAAAAAAGUACAGACUUACAGUGCCACUAGAACUUUUCACAGGAUGGAAGAAGAUAGAUUCUUUCACCACAUUCAUGCAGGAAAAUUGAGAGAGAAGUAAAUAUCAACCCUAGAUUGACUGCCAGAGAUAUUAAAACAUCAGUUCCAACUUUGGAAA